GUAGGUGAACCUGCGGAGGGAUCAUUAACACGUAUCCACGUAUCAACCAACGCGCACUUGGGACUGUCUAGUCCUAGCUAACCUAGUGAAUGAAAGCUGUGAUAUUGAAAAUCGUGUAGUGGGUAUUGUUCAAAUUGGAUUGCGAGUCGAUGGAGAAUUUGUCUGUGAAAGACCAGCCUCAGGAUACCAUCGAUAAACUUUCUGAUGAGUUCAAUAGGAUUUUCUCAUACACUUGAGGGUUAAACCUCGA
rnacentral:misc_RNA from 1 species